rnacentral:rRNA from 1 species
UACGAAGGGGGCUAGCGUUGUUCGGAAUUACUGGGCGUAAAGCGCGCGUAGGCGGCCCUGUAAGUCCGUUGUGAAAGUCGAAGGCUCAACCUUCGAAAGCCGAUGGAUACUGCAGGGCUAGAGUCCGGAAGAGGCGAGUGGAAUUCCUGGUGUAGCGGUGAAAUGCGCAGAUAUCAGGAGGAACACCGGUGGCGAAGGCGGGUCUCUGGGCCGAAAUUGACGCUGAGGAGCGAAAGCGUGGGGAGCAAACAGG